rnacentral:misc_RNA from 1 species
AGGACGUGUCACUUCCUGAUUG